GGGUUGUGAGGUUAAGCGACUAAGCGUACACGGUGGAUGCCCUGGCAGUCAGAGGCGAUGAAGGACGUGCUAAUCUGCGAAAAGCGUCGGUAAGGUGAUAUGAACCGUUAUAACCGGCGAUGUCCGAAUGGGGAAACCCAGUGCAAUUCGUUGCACUAUCGUUAACUGAAUACAUAGGUUAACGAGGCGAACCGGGGGAACUGAAACAUCUAAGUACCCCGAGGAAAAGAAAUCAACCGAGAUUCCCCAGUAGCGGCGAGCGAACGGGGAGCAGCCCAGAGUCUGAAUCAGCUUGUGUGUUAGUGGAACGGUCUGGAAAGUCCGACGGUACAGGGUGAUAGUCCCGUACACCAAAAUGCACAGGCUGUGAACUCGAAGAGUAGGGCGGGACACGUGGUAUCCUGUCUGAAUAUGGGGGGACCAUCCUCCAAGGCUAAAUACUCCUGACUGACCGAUAGUGAACCAGUACCGUGAGGGAAAGGCGAAAAGAACCCCGGCGAGGGGAGUGAAAAAGAACCUGAAACCGUGUACGUACAAGCAGUGGGAGCACCUUCGGGUGUGACUGCGUACCUUUUGUAUAAUGGGUCAGCGACUUAUAUUCUGUAGCAAGGUUAACCGUAUAGGGGAGCCGCAGGGAAACCGAGUCUUAACUGGGCGUUAAGUUGCAGGGUAUAGACCCGAAACCCGGUGAUCUAGCCAUGGGCAGGUUGAAGGUUGGGUAACACUAACUGGAGGACCGAACCGACUAAUGUUGAAAAAUUAGCGGAUGACUUGUGGCUGGGGGUGAAAGGCCAAUCAAACCGGGAGAUAGCUGGUUCUCCCCGAAAGCUAUUUAGGUAGCGCCUCGUGAACUCAUCUUCGGGGUAGAGCACUGUUUCGGCUAGGGGGUCAUCCCGACUUACCAACCCGAUGCAAACUACGAAUACCGAAGAAUGUUAUCACGGGAGACACACGGCGGGUGCUAACGUCCGUCGUGAAGAGGGAAACAACCCAGACCGCCAGCUAAGGUCCCAAAGUCAUGGUUAAGUGGGAAACGAUGUGGGAAGGCACAGACAGCCAGGAUGUUGGCUUAGAAGCAGCCAUCAUUUAAAGAAAGCGUAAUAGCUCACUGGUCGAGUCGGCCUGCGCGGAAGAUGUAACGGGGCUAAACCAUGCACCGAAGCUGCGGCAGCGACACUAUGUGUUGUUGGGUAGGGGAGCGUUCUGUAAGCCUGCGAAGGUGUGCUGUGAGGCAUGCUGGAGGUAUCAGAAGUGCGAAUGCUGACAUAAGUAACGAUAAAGCGGGUGAAAAGCCCGCUCGCCGGAAGACCAAGGGUUCCUGUCCAACGUUAAUCGGGGCAGGGUGAGUCGACCCCUAAGGCGAGGCCGAAAGGCGUAGUCGAUGGGAAACAGGUUAAUAUUCCUGUACUUGGUGUUACUGCGAAGGGGGGACGGAGAAGGCUAUGUUAGCCGGGCGACGGUUGUCCCGGUUUAAGCAUGUAGGCUGAUUGUCCAGGCAAAUCCGGAUAAUCAAGGCUGAGGUGUGAUGACGAGGCACUACGGUGCUGAAGUAACAAAUGCCCUGCUUCCAGGAAAAGCCUCUAAGCAUCAGGUAACAUUAAAUCGUACCCCAAACCGACACAGGUGGUCAGGUAGAGAAUACCAAGGCGCUUGAGAGAACUCGGGUGAAGGAACUAGGCAAAAUGGUGCCGUAACUUCGGGAGAAGGCACGCUGGUGUGUAGGUGAAGUCCCUGCGGAUGGAGCUGAGACCAGUCGAAGAUACCAGCUGGCUGCAACUGUUUAUUAAAAACACAGCACUGUGCAAACACGAAAGUGGACGUAUACGGUGUGACGCCUGCCCGGUGCCGGAAGGUUAAUUGAUGGGGUUAUCCGUAAGGAGAAGCUCUUGAUCGAAGCCCCGGUAAACGGCGGCCGUAACUAUAACGGUCCUAAGGUAGCGAAAUUCCUUGUCGGGUAAGUUCCGACCUGCACGAAUGGCGUAAUGAUGGCCAGGCUGUCUCCACCCGAGACUCAGUGAAAUUGAACUCGCUGUGAAGAUGCAGUGUACCCGCGGCAAGACGGAAAGACCCCGUGAACCUUUACUAUAGCUUGACACUGAACAUUGAGCCUUGAUGUGUAGGAUAGGUGGGAGGCUUUGAAGCGUGGACGCCAGUCUGCGUGGAGCCAACCUUGAAAUACCACCCUUUAAUGUUUGAUGUUCUAACGUUGGCCCCUGACCGGGGUUGCGGACAGUGUCUGGUGGGUAGUUUGACUGGGGCGGUCUCCUCCCAAAGCGUAACGGAGGAGCACGAAGGUUAGCUAAUCCUGGUCGGACAUCAGGAGGUUAGUGCAAUGGCAUAAGCUAGCUUGACUGCGAGCGUGACGGCGCGAGCAGGUGCGAAAGCAGGUCAUAGUGAUCCGGUGGUUCUGAAUGGAAGGGCCAUCGCUCAACGGAUAAAAGGUACUCCGGGGAUAACAGGCUGAUACCGCCCAAGAGUUCAUAUCGACGGCGGUGUUUGGCACCUCGAUGUCGGCUCAUCACAUCCUGGGGCUGAAGUAGGUCCCAAGGGUAUGGCUGUUCGCCAUUUAAAGUGGUACGCGAGCUGGGUUUAGAACGUCGUGAGACAGUUCGGUCCCUAUCUGCCGUGGGCGCUGGAGAAUUGAGGGGGCUGCUCCUAGUACGAGAGGACCGGAGUGGACGCAUCACUGGUGUUCGGGUUGUCAUGCCAAUGGCACUGCCCGGUAGCUAAAUGCGGAAGAGAUAAGUGCUGAAAGCAUCUAAGCACGAAACUUGCCCCGAGAUGAGUUCUCCCUGAGACUUUAAGUCUCCUGAAGGAACGUUAAAGACGAUGACGUUGAUAGGCCGGGUGUGUAAGCGCAGCGAUGCGUUGAGCUAACCGGUACUAAUGAACCGUGAGGCUUAACCUUACAACGCCGAAG
rnacentral:rRNA from 1 species